rnacentral:rRNA from 1 species
UCGCCCUUAGAGUUUGAUCCUGGCUCAGAUUGAACGCUGGCGGCAUGCCUUACACAUGCAAGUCGAACGGUAACAGGUCUUCGGAUGCUGACGAGUGGCGAACGGGUGAGUAAUACAUCGGAACGUGCCCAGACGUGGGGGAUAACGAGGCGAAAGCUUUGCUAAUACCGCAUACGAUCUAAGGAUGAAAGCAGGGGGCCGCAAGGCCUUGCGCGUUUGGAGCGGCCGAUGGCAGAUUAGGUAGUUGGUGGGAUAAAAGCUUACCAAGCCGACGAUCUGUAGCUGGUCUGAGAGGACGACCAGCCACACUGGGACUGAGACACGGCCCAGACUCCUACGGGAGGCAGCAGUGGGGAAUUUUGGACAAUGGGCGAAAGCCUGAUCCAGCAAUGCCGCGUGCAGGAUGAAGGCCUUCGGGUUGUAAACUGCUUUUGUACGGAACGAAAAGGCUCUGGCUAAUACCUGGAGCACAUGACGGUACCGUAAGAAUAAGCACCGGCUAACUACGUGCCAGCAGCCGCGGUAAUACGUAGGGUGCGAGCGUUAAUCGGAAUUACUGGGCGUAAAGCGUGCGC